rnacentral:rRNA from 1 species
UACGUAGGCAGCGAGCGUUGUUCGGAGUUAUUGGGCGUAAAGCGCGCGCAGGCGGCCUCGCGCGCCCGACGUGAAAGCCCCCGGCUUAACCGGGGAGGGUCGUUGGGGACGGCGGGGCUUGAGGGCGGGAGAGGUCGGUGGAAUUCCCGGUGUAGUGGUGAAAUGCGUAGAGAUCGGGAGGAACACCUGUGGCGAAGGCGGCCGACUGGGCCGACCCUGACGCUGAGGCGCGAAGGCGUGGGGAGCGAACGGG